UUAUAGUCUGAUUUAUUUUAUCUGAAAGAAAUUCAGAAAUAAUGAAACGUGGCCAGCGGUUAAACAUGACAUCAUAACAGGGGAGAGCUGUUUUAACAGCUGGUCAGAUAAAGGGUAUUACAUAUCACAAAUGGGUAAACUAGAAAAGGUUAAAGGAACACUAUAGUCACAAAAACACCUUUAGCUGAAUGAAGCCGGUUUAGUGUAUAGAUCAUGC